GCACCGUGACCUAUUCACCGUCCACUUCCUGUCUCAGAAUUUAAACGGGGUCACCAUCGCGUAGAGAAGCAGGCCCUGCCCACCCACUGCGGGGAGUGCCACCCACAGGUGACACGCGCUCUCCACCACCCCACCAAAACCACCACAUGAAUUGGCAACAUGGGAGGAGAAAAGAACCAGAACUUACCAGGCUCUGCUUUUUUUCUUAAAAAUACUUUAAAAGGAAAA
rnacentral:lncRNA from 1 species